rnacentral:rRNA from 1 species
AUUGAACGCUGGCGGCAGGCCUAACACAUGCAAGUCGAGCGGAUGAGAGGAGCUUGCUCCUCGAUUCAGCGGCGGACGGGUGAGUAAUGCCUAGGAAUCUGCCUAGUAGUGGGGGACAACGUUUCGAAAGGAACGCUAAUACCGCAUACGUCCUACGGGAGAAAGUGGGGGAUAUUCGGACCUCACGCUAUUAGAUGAGCCCAGGUCGGAUUAGCUAGUUGGUAGGGUAACGGCCUACCAAGGCGGCGAUCCGUAACUGGUCUGAGAGGAUGGUCAGUCACACUGGAACUGAGACACGGUCCAGACUCCUACGGGAGGCAGCAGUGGGGAAUAUUGGACAAUGGGCGAAAGCCUGAUCCAGCCAUGCCGCGUGUGUGAAGAAGGCCCUCGGGUCGUAAAGCACUUUAAGUUGGGAGGAAGGGCUUACAGCGAAUACCUGUGAGUUUUGACGUUACCGACAGGAUAAGCACCGGCUAACUUCGUGCCAGCAGCCGCCGUAA